GCCUGGGUGGCUCAGUUGGCUAAGCACCUGACUCCUGAUUUCGGCUCAGGUCAUGAUCUCAGGGCUUCGUGGGAUCGAGCCCCACAUCGGGCU
rnacentral:tRNA from 1 species